GCUCAGUUGGUUAAGCAUCUGACUCUUGAUUUCAGCUCAGGUCUUGAUCUCGGGGUUGUGAGUUCAAGUCCCACACUGAGCU
rnacentral:tRNA from 1 species